AGAUCAUUUUCAGCGGAUUCAUUCGAGCACCGCUGUCCCUUUCAACUCCAUGCUCUUUUUCGAUGAUGAGAAUAGGAACAUCCAAUCGGAUUGUGUUGCUACAAGAUGGUACACAGCCCCAAAGCUGUAUGGCUCCUUCUUUUCUAAGGUAUAUAAUUUGGCCAAAAUUUAUGUAAUAUAGAUCAUUUAUAGAGGCAUAUAUGCUUAUUUUUAGUUGCAAGGCAGUAUUGUGAUAUUAUUGUUGAGACUUGUUUGAGUUAAUAACAAUUUUGUAGACAUCAUUAUUGAAUGUUGUUGUAUCAUAAUCUUAACUGGAUUUGUUUGAUUUUUAUUCAAGGGUUGUUCCCCUUUAAAUUUGCAUCUGAGGGAGAAAAUGUAAUUUCAUUUUGUGGUUGCAGAGUAAUGUAGAACUAUGAAGUUAAGUAUGCAAUAUAAAUGUUAAUAAAUUGAUGGGAAAUUUGGUUAUAUUUUUUAAGAAAACAUUUUUAGAAAUAUCUGAAAGUUACUUUCAUUUUGUUAGAAUAUGCUAUCUUAGUUUUAAAGUUGAUUGCACGUUACCUAACUGGAUGGUUUGGUUACUUGUGGUUUUGGAAGGAGUUUGAAUAAUAGUAAGUUUAUUAAUGAUUACUAGGUGAGUAUAGUAAGUUAAAUAAAAU
rnacentral:sRNA from 1 species